rnacentral:tRNA from 1 species
AACGGGUUUUGGUCCCGUUAAUCGGAGGUUCGAAUCCUUCCGUCCCAG